rnacentral:rRNA from 1 species
GAUGAACGCUGGCGGCGUGCCUAAUACAUGCCAGUCGAGCGAACGGACGAGAAGCUUGCUUCUCUGAUGUUAGCGGCGGACGGGUGAGUAACACGUGGAUAACCUACCUAUAAGACUGGGAUAACUUCGGGAAACCGGAGCUAAUACCGGAUAAUAUUUUGAACCGCAUGGUUCAAAAGUAAAAGACGGUCUUGCUGUCACUUAUAGAUGGAUCCGCGCUGCAUUAGCUAGUUGGUAAGGUAACGGCUUACCAAGGCAACGAUGCAUAGCCGACCUGAGAGGGUGAUCGGCCACACUGGAACUGAGACACGGUCCAGACUCCUACGGGAGGCAGCAGUAGGGAAUCUUCCGCAAUGGGCGAAAGCCUGACGGAGCAACGCCGCGUGAGUGAUGAAGAUCUUCGGAUCGUAAAACUCUGUUAUUAGGGAAGAACAUAUGUGUAAGUAACUGUGCACAUCUUGACGGUACCUAAUCAGAAAGCCACGGCUAACUACGUG